rnacentral:rRNA from 1 species
UCGGGAAUUUUGGGCAAUGGGGGAAACCCUGACCCAGCAACGCCGCGUGAAGGAUGAAGUAUUUCGGUAUGUAAACUUCGAAAGAAUAGGAAGAAUAAAUGACGGUACUAUUUAUAAGGUCCGGCUAACUACGUGCCAGCAGCCGCGGUAAUACGUAGGGACCAAGCGUUAUCCGGAAUUACUGGGCGUAAAGGGAGUGCAGGCGGUUGCGUAAGUUAGGCGUGAAAGACUUCGGCUAAACCGGGGGAGGUCGUCUGAUACUGCGCAACUAGAGUAUGGUAGAGGCGUGUAGAAUUCCGGGUGUAGUGGUGAAAUGCGUAGAGAUCCGGAGGAAUACCAGUGGCGAAGGCGGCACGCUGGGCCAUAACUGACGCUAAGACUCGAAAGCAUGGGUAGCGAACGGGAUUAGAUACCCCUGUAGUCCCUGAGCGGGCUGGCAAGGCGCAU